rnacentral:rRNA from 1 species
UACAGAGGUCUCAAGCGUUGUUCGGAUUCAUUGGGCGUAAAGGGUGCGUAGGCGGCGCGGUAAGUCGGGUGUGAAAUCUCGGAGCUUAACUCCGAAACUGCAUUCGAUACUGCGGUGCUUGAGGACUGGAGAGGAGACUGGAAUUCAUGGUGUAGCAGUGAAAUGCGUAGAGAUCAUGAGGAAGACCAGUGGCGAAGGCGGGUCUCUGGACAGUUCCUGACACUGAGACACGAAGGACCAGGGGAGCAAACGGG